GUGCCAGCCGCUGCGGUAAUACGUAGGUGGCAAGCGUUGUCCGGAUUUAUUGGGCGUAAAGCGAGCGCAGGCGGUUUCUUAAGUCUGAUGUGAAAGCCCCCGGCUCAACCGGGGAGGGUCAUUGGAAAACUGGGAGACUUGAGUGCAGAAGAGGAGAGUGGAAUUCCAUGUGUAGCGGUGAAAUGCGUAGAUAUAUGGAGGAACACAGUGGCGAAGGCGGCUCUCUGGUCUGUAACUGACGCUGAGGCUACGAAAGCGUGGGAG
rnacentral:rRNA from 1 species